ensembl:lncRNA
GGCGGGGCGCCCCCGGCCGGGCACCCGGCGCUGCUCCUCGGGCCCGAGGGAUCCCGGGCAGCCGCGCGCCGGGGCCCGGGGCGGAGUGCUCGCGGGUGUGUCCAUUCGUCCAUCCGCCGCCCCCGCCCGCCCCCUGCGGUGGCUCCCGGCUUGCCCAGCUCGGCGGCCGCGCCCGGCAGAUGCGCGGCGCUGGGUCCCGGCCUCCUGCGCCCCGGGCCUCCCGGCCCCGCCGGCCCCGGGUUGGCGGACGGGACCGAGGCGAGCUCCCCGGCCGCGCUCAACACCUGAGGAAACUGGCGGAAAAGUUUGAGAACGAAAAGUCCAAUCGUCUUUCAGCUUCCGCCCUCCCUAUGACACUCCAGCCACGGUUCGACUCCCCUCGGUGUCCACGGACUUUCCUGUCUACACCGACCCUCUUGAGUCCGCAGGACCCCUCUCUGUUUCGACAGCGCCUGCCCUGGCCACCCCAGCCUUGCAUGUCUUCACUGACUCCCGUUCUGUCUACACCGACUUUCUUAGUUCCAUCACUUCUCUGUCUCCACGUGCGGUCUCCACGGACCCUAACUUCCACCCUCAUAGGAGAGGUUUGGCUAGAGGCCCGUGGCAGCCCCUUUUGCGGGCUUAUCCACUGUGUCAGAGCAUUUAAUUUCAGCACCAGUCUCCCCUUUCUUGGUAGAUCUAGAUCUGGUUUUUAUUCCCUGACCUCUUCCCCUCCUCUACCUUACCCCUUCAUUUGGUUUUGAUUUCAGAGGAGAUGUAUUCCUCCCCCCCCCAUCCCCCAUCUCCAGCCUGAAUGUAACGUCUUGUUGGGCUACAGCCUGUGCCUCCCCACUCCCCAGGGCGAAGCCGCAGAGGCCUGAGGCCUGGGUAGAAAUUGGGGAGGGGGCUGUGGAAGGUAGGGGGCCUGCUUGUUCUUUGGCUGAAACUGGGAGGAGCCAACCCCGGGCGGGCUCUGCAGGUCCCGCCCUACCACCCCCCCCCUCCCCCGCUGCCUGGGCCGGGGGAGGGGUGAUUGGUAAAUCUCUCUCGCUCAGCUCACUCCUGUGAUGUCUGAAUCCAGGCCUCUACUCUCCUCGGCUGUGAACUCAGUUCAGGGAUUGUGUCUUCUUUAAUAUCUUGUGGGAAGCAGAGUACAGUGUGGCGGCUGAUAAAUAAUAAAUAAUAAUAGUCUACUGAGGGUAGCCGGAGA